rnacentral:ncRNA from 1 species
UUAAAGGCGUUGAAAGGGAGAGUAAAUAGUUAAUUCUAUUUACAGCGAACUGGGAUUGGUGAGAGCCAGGAUAGAACGACCUAUUGAACAUCCCCCUAGAGCUGCAGACUGAAAGAUAACUCCGAGUAAGUUGUGCCGGUUUAGCACCCGUUAUUAUGUGCUGGAGUAUGGAACAGAUUCUUUUUAUGAAUCUGUAAGUACUUACUAAGACUGCUAUCGUGAGGUAGUAGUGAAUCAGGGUGGUAACACGAGAAGUUUAUAACCUCUUGUCCCGAUU